GGGACACACAAUGGGAGUUUUGGUGGAACAUUCUAUCCCAAACAGGGCAAAGGAGUAGUAUCACAAAGGAAUAGGUGAGUGUAAUUCAACCCAUGGGGCGACACAUCUACAUCUGAAGAUCUGAAGUAGCCCACAACUUCCUGAACCAGGACAACAUCCAUGUCACUAUGAAAUGUAAGUGACUGGUCAAAGCCUCUCACUUCAGGAUGGAAGGCAUGAAUCAUUCAUAGUGGCUCCCCCAACAGAUGGCUCUAUUUGAGGAUGUGAGGACUUACUGUUUUUAUGUAUGUUAUAUACAUUUUCUCAUUCAAUUUUAAAAGCUGGGGACGGGAGUUUUAGCUAUCUAUCAGUGUAACUAAAGGGAUAUUGCUAAACAUCCUACAACGUAUAAUGUACAGGACAGCUUCAGACAACAAAUUUGCAGUAAAAUUUAGUAUUUUACUUUUUAUUUGUCAUUGUACUGACAAAAACCAAAUUUUUUCUUAAAUAUGUACCUUUGGGGGCUAGGGUUAUAGCUCAGUGGUAGAGUACUUGACUAGCAUGUGUGAGGCACUGGUUUUGAUUCUCAGCACCACAUAUAAAUAAAUAAUGGUAAACAACUAAAAAAAAUAUUAGUCUAGAGACUCUGCGUCUAAUCUUCAUCAUGUGGGAUUAGGCCUCAACUUCCUUCAUAAGACUCCUAUAGCACAAGAAUUAAAACCAAGAAUCAACAAAUGGAAUGGAUUCAAACUAAAAAGUUUCUUCUCAGCAAAAGAAAUAAUCUGUGAGGUGAAUAGAGAGCCUACAUCCUAGGAACAAAUUUUUACCCCUCACACAUCAGAUAGAGCUCUAAUCUCUAGGGUAUAUAAAGAGCUGAACAAGAUAAGCACCAAAAAAAAAAACCCAAACAAAAACAAAUAAUCCAUCAAUAAAUGGGACAAGGACCUGAACAGACACUUCUCAGAAGAGGAUAUGCAAUCAAUCAACAAAUAUAUGAAAAAAUGCUCAUCAUCUCUAGCAAUCAGAGAAAUGCAAAUCAAAACUACUCUAAGAUAUCAUCUCACCCCAGUAAGAAUGGCAGCCAUUAUGAAGACAAACAACAAUUAGUGUUGGUGAGGAUGUGGGGAAAAAGGUACACUCAUACAUUGCUGAUGGGACUGCAAAUUGUUCAGCCAAUAUGAAAAGCAGUAUGGAGAUUCCUUGGAAAGCUGGGAAUGGAACCACCGUUUGACCCAGCUAUUCUUCUUCUCAGACUAUACCAAAAGGAUCUAAAAACAGCAUACUACAGGGACACAGCCACAUCAAUGUUUAUAGCAGCACAAUUCACAAUAGCUAAACUGUGGAGGGAAAUUAGAUGUCCUUCAGUGGAUGAAUAGAUAAAACAAUGUGGCAUUUAUACACAAUGGAAUCUUACUCAGCACUAAAAAAAUAAUAAGAUAGGCAUUUGAAGAGAAAUGGAUGGCAUUAGAGAAGAUAAUGUAAGUGAAGUUAGCCAAUUCCAAAAAAACAAAUGCCGAAUGUCUUCUCUGAUAUAAG
rnacentral:lncRNA from 1 species